rnacentral:lncRNA from 1 species
AAAUCAACUAAAAAUGUUUACCUUUCAUGAUCUUUUGACUUUAGGCAAGAUCUGGAACUCACAUAAUGCCAGAUCAGAUGAAUAGGUGGAGGAGAACACAUGGUUAUGUUUUUAGAAGCCUGUCUUUCCACUGACAGCAGCGUUCAUCAUAUUUUUGAUCACAUCUCAAAAGGUAUUCGUGAAACAGGACUUCCAGAACUGCUUCAGAAAGUGGAAGAAACAACGGUUUUGUGGCACAAAUGA